AGCUUCUAGAAAUUAUAAGAAGUGCCGUCUGCCCGGUGACCCCACAGGUUUAACGGCCGCGUAUUCGUGCUAAGGUAGCAUAAUCAUUUGCCCCUUCACUGGGGGCUAGCAUGAAGGGAUUAACGAAGCUUAACUGUCUCUAAAUUUUUAUUAAAAAUUGAUUUAUAGGUGAAAAAUCCUAUAUUAUUGUGUAGGACGAAAAGACCCUAUAGAGUUUGUAGUGAAAUUUAAUUACUGACUUACAAGUUUUACUUGAGAUUAAAAAUUCAAAAUAUUUAAAUACACUUUUAUUGGGGCAAUAAAAGAACAUAAAAACUCUUAUUUAAAAAAUUAAAAAUCUUUAAUUUUAUAAAUGAUCCUCAAAGAGAAAAAAGAAAAACUACCUUAGGGAUAACAGCGUAAUCCUCCCAGAGAGGUCUAAUCGAAGGGAGGGUUUGCGACCUCGAUGUUGGACUAAGGAAACUUUAAAGUGCAGAAACUUUAAAAAGUAGGCCUGUUCGGCCUUUAAUACCUU
rnacentral:rRNA from 1 species